GACGAACGCUGGCGGCGUGCUUAACACAUGCAAGUCGAACGGAAAGGCCCUGCUUUUGUGGGGUGCUCGAGUGGCGAACGGGUGAGUAACACGUGAGUAACCUGCCCUUGACUUUGGGAUAACUUCAGGAAACUGGGGCUAAUACCGGAUAGGAGCUCCUGCUGCAUGGUGGGGGUUGGAAAGUUUCGGCGGUUGGGGAUGGACUCGCGGCUUAUCAGCUUGUUGGUGGGGUAGUGGCUUACCAAGGCUUUGACGGGUAGCCGGCCUGAGAGGGUGACCGGCCACAUUGGGACUGAGAUACGGCCCAGACUCCUACGGGAGGCAGCAGUGGAGAAUAUUGCACAAUGGGCGGAAGCCUGACGCAGCAACGCCGCGUGCGGGAUGACGGCCUUCGGGUUGUAAACCGCUUUCGCCUGUGACGAAGCGUGAGUGACGGUAAUGGGUAAAGAAGCACCGGCUAACUACGUG
rnacentral:rRNA from 1 species